GUAGGUGAACCUGCGGAAGGAUCAUUAAUGAAACUUCAAAGUCGGCCGACAGUUGUUGCUGGUGGUUUACUCCACAUGUGCACAUUGUUGGUCGCAAAUCCACACACACCUGUGCAUCUAUGACUCGAGGUUGUAACGACUGAGAGUAAAUUUUACACACUCUUGUAUGUAACGGAAUGUCUUUUUGUGCGAUAAUGUACAAUAUAAACAACUUUCAACAACGGAUCUCUUGGCUCUC
rnacentral:misc_RNA from 1 species